rnacentral:sRNA from 1 species
UUCAGGGACCAGCGGAACGAGCCUUUUUCUCGUUAAUAGGUUUCUGGGUAAAUGGCCCAACCAGAGAGUUCUGCAGAUUUUGGCAUAGCUCAACAAAAUAACUAUUACUGCUACUGGCAAAGGAAACCACACCUCUACCUGAAAACCAAGAUGAAGACCCACUAGAAGAUCCACAUCUUCAUUUGAAUAUUGAGGAAUCAAACCAAGAGUUUAUGGUGAAAAGUGAAGAACUCUACGACUCCCUCAUGAAUUGCCACUGGCAGCCUCUGGACACAGUUCACUCCGAAAUUCCAGAUGAGACCCCAAAGUGAAGCAGGGUGUUCAUUAAACUCCACAAUUAUCAUA